CAAAGAGAUUGGAGGAUUUAAUUGGAUUGGAUAUAUCAUAUGAGGAUGGGACUGAGACGAAGUAUUCUUCUAAAACUGACUUGGGUUUUUGAGGCAACAAAUCAUACAAGCAACAAAAGGUUAACUUAAACAAGAAAUGAUUUUAAAAGGUAAAUCACGUUGGAUGUAAUUGGGAAUCGCACUGGGUUGACCAGAUUCGUCUAAUACUAACAUCGCAUUAUAAAAGAGUACUUAAAAAAGCUGGAACAAUAUUAUAUGAAACAGUGAAAAUAUCGGCAAAUUUUCAUUCUGACAAACCAUAUAUCAUAAGACUAAUGGCUGCGAAUAAAUGAGCAUUAGUGCAUCCAACCCCACUCUAUUUUUCGCUUAAAAAUAAAAUUUAAAGUAAAAAUAUUCUAAUAAUACUAUAUUUUUUAUUCUAUAAUAGACUGAAAUUAAAUUUAUUCCAACUACAAAGUAACUUGUUUUUAUUUAUUCAUCGCCCUAUUUUUUAUUUUGAAAUAGAGUACUGUUGAAACAAACUCAAAUUCUAUUAUAGAAUUACUUUAUUUUAAAAUAAAAAAUA
rnacentral:lncRNA from 1 species